rnacentral:rRNA from 1 species
UACGGGGGGUGCGAGCGUUGUCCGGAAUCACUGGGCGUAAAGGGCGCGUAGGCGGUCUGAUAAGGGUGUGGUGAAAGUCCGGGGCUCAACCCCGGAUCUGCCGUGCCGACUCUCAGACUCGAGGACUGUAGAGGCAGGCGGAAUUCCGGGUGUAGCGGUGGAAUGCGUAGAGAUCCGGAGGAAGACCGGUGGCGAAGGCGGCCUGCUGGGCAGUUUCUGACACUGAUGCGCGACAGCGUGGGGAGCAAACAGG